rnacentral:rRNA from 1 species
UACGUAGGGCGCAAGCGUUGUCCGGAAUUAUUGGGCGUAAAGAGCUCGUAGGCGGUUUGUCGCGUCUGCUGUGAAAACCCGAGGCUCAACCUCGGGCCUGCAGUGGGUACGGGCAGACUAGAGUGCGGUAGGGGGAGAUUGGAAUUCCUGGUGUAGCGGUGGAAUGCGCAGAUAUCAGGAGGAACACCAAUGGCGAAGGCAGAUCUCUGGGCCGUAACUGACGCUGAGGAGCGAAAGCAUGGGGAGCGAACAGG